rnacentral:rRNA from 1 species
CGCGGGGGCAACCCUGGCGGCGAGCGGCGAACGGGUGAGUAACAUAUCGGAACGUACCCAGUCGUGGGGAGUAACUAUCCGAAAGGAUAGCUAAUACCGCAUACGUCCUGAGGGAGAAAGCGGGGAGUCGCAAGACCUCGCGCGAUUGGAGCGGCCGAUAUCGGAUUAGCUAGUUGGUGGGGUAAAGGCUCACCAAGGCGACGAUCCGUAGCGGGUCUGAGAGGACGACCCGCCACACUGGAACUGAGACACGGUCCAGACUCCUACGGGAGGCAGCAGUGGGGAAUUUUGGACAAUGGGGGCGAACCCUGAUCCAGCCAUUCCGCGUGAGUGAUGAAGGCCUUAGGGUUGUAAAGCUCUUUUACCAGGGAUGAUAAUGACAGUACCUGGAGAAUAAGCUCCGGCUAACUCCGUG